UUGAAAAAGAUUGCAAGAGAUUAUACUGGAGAGAGAGUGAUUUUUAUGGGAGACAUGAAUGCUCACGUAGGUAUGUUAGGUGAACAAAUGAACAGGAAUGGUGAGAUGCUGGAUGAGUUUGUGAAUGAGAUGAGCUUGGAGAAUCUGAAUGAGACCUUGGCUGAAGUACAAGUGAUUUGGUAUGCGAGGAACCAGGAGCUGUACCACCGAAAAUACUCAGUGAUGCACUCAAGUCUUGGCAAAAUACUUAAGUGUUACCAACCAAAACACUGAAUGUGCCAAAGUACACUUAGCGCUGAGGGUCCCUGAGGAGGACACUUCCGUAUUCACCGCAACACUUAAGUGUUCCUGUACCUACCAUAAUAAACAACCGUUGAUGGACGCCCAACAGGAAAGAGCUCGCAGGCCAAGGCAACACAGGGUCAGAAAAGACGUGUUGAAUAUGUACGUACGUCGAUGCAGAACUGAUAAAGAGGUAUUGACUGGAUCGUGAGGGGAUUCUGCUAGUGACAAAUAUGGUGAGGGACAAAAUAUCACCUGCUACAAAUAGGAGCAACAGUGUUAGUGCAGAAAUGAAAGUGCUCGCGACACUGCGAUACUUGGCUACGGGGAAAAUGCAACUAUGUAAUGGUGAUGACUUGGGUUUAUCGCAGCAAACCAUCAGUAAAGUGAUUGGUGAGACACUGGACGCCCUUGUGACCGACACUUUCAUCAGCCGUUUUGUAAAAUUCCCAAGAAAAUAGGCUGAAUUCAUGGGCAUUAGUGGCUUUCCGGGAGUAGUGGGACAGGACUCACGUGAGGCUAAUAUCUCCCAAGGAGUAUGAGGCCGAGUACGUGAAUCGGAAAAACUAUCACAGCAUCAACACCCAAGUUGUGUUUGAUGCUAAGUACAGGAUCCUGGAUGUGGUAGCAAAGUGGCCUGGAGCUACUCAUGAUGCCAGGAUAUUUAGUGCGCGGCCUUAAAAUCAGGUUUGAGAGAGGAAUUGUACCUGCUGGCUGUUACCUUCUUGGAGACGCCAAUGCUUUCUACUGACUCCUUACCUCCAGCCACAAACUGCUGCACAGGAAGCAUAUAACAGGGCACACAAGCAAACCAGGUGUGUUGUGGAACGUGGCAUUGGGCAGUGGAAGCGCAGGUUUAAUGUUCUACACAAAGAGAUUAGAGUCAAUCCUAAGAAAACUUGCAAGAUCAUCAUGGCCUGUGCUGCACUGCAUAACUUGUGCAGGGAAAGAAAUUUGGAUAUACCUGUGCAAGAUGGACCAGUGGUGGAGGAAGAAAUACAUGCCAUUGGUCAUGAUGAGCCAAUGCAGCCUGGACAAGCCAGAGACGCCAAGAAGAUUGAUGCAUGAAGUUUGAAGCACACAUUCACCAGCUGUUUCACAUGGAAGUGGAUGGAUAUGAGAAAGGGAUGGGGAAAUCUGGAUAAUUAAAAGCAUAAUACUA